GACUACCGGGGUAUCUAAUCCUGUUUGAUACCCACACCUUCGAGCUUCAGCGUCAGUUGCGGCCCAGUAAGCUGCCUUCGCAAUCGGAGUUCUUCGUCAUAUCUAUGCAUUUCACCGCUACACGACGAAUUCCGCCUACCUCUUACGCACUCAAGAACACCAGUUUCAACUGCAGUGCAGAUGUUGAGCAUCUACAUUUCACAGCUGACUUGAUAUCCCGCCUACGCUCCCUUUAAACCCAAUAAAUCCGGAUAACGCUCGGAUCCUCCGUAUUACCGCGGCUGCUGGCACGGAGUUAGCCGAUCCUUAUUCUUAUGGUACAUGCACGCAACCACACGUGGAUACCGUUAUUCCCAUAAAAAAGAAGUUUACAACCCAUAGGGCCGUCAUCCUUCACGCUACUUGGCUGGUUCAGCCUUUCGGCCAUUGACCAAUAUUCCUCACUGCAGCCCCCCGUAGG
rnacentral:rRNA from 1 species